AAUAAGCAUCAAGAGUGGCAUAAUGCACACCAACCGGCCUACACAGAAUCGUUGGCAGCGGUGGUAAAAGGAUGCGAGUGAAUGUUUAAUCCACUAAAGAUAAACGAUUAU
rnacentral:ncRNA from 2 species